rnacentral:tRNA from 1 species
GGUGGGUUAGCUAAGUGGUUAGAGCGUACGUCUCGUAACCGAAAGGUCGCGGGAUCGAAUCCCGCUAGAGGCUG